rnacentral:lncRNA from 1 species
AUCAUAAGAUGGUUCAUGUACAAAUGUAGAGUUUACUUUUCCUACAUUCACUCCAAUCUGGUAAUGUGAGACUCCUGAAGUAGGAUUUUAACCUUGAAUCUUGUUUAGAAUUGUUUCUUUCAGUGGCACUCAGGAAAGAUCACAACAGUUGUGGAGUUACUACAUAAAGAGGCUUCUACUCCCCAAGGGAGGAGGAACCAGCUAAAUCUAAGAACGGCACAAAAUUAACUCACAAAGAAGAAUUAAAAACAGAAGAUGUUUACCUACGUUAACGAACCUGCACAUCCUGCAUGUGUAUCCUGGAACUUAAAAAAAAAUCAAAACUUUUAAAAAGGAAUAAAAAAACAGGACCUUUCGUUUCACACACAGAUGAAAUAUUUUAAAAAAAGCAGAAGUAAGCAACAAGGUUAAAUUUUUUUUUGACACCCAUCUCCUAUUUUGAUGCUUUCACUAAGGAGUUUGAAUCUGUACUCACAAGUCUGGUUGUCCCUCUGAGUUCCUGGUGCUCUCUUGUCAGAAAGAAUACUUGCCCACUCUGUUCUGUGUUCUUUGUGAGUGCUUUGCUCCGUAUGCUUCUUGGGUGAGUGACUGAUCUAGAGAAUCUGACUUUCCAUUACUCUAAGGGCCAGAUACGGUUGGAAGAACAAAAGAAAACAUGGAAGGGAAACUGAAGGUAAAUAUUUGUUCCUUUUCCUAAGCUACUGCCACUCGGGCGGGGGGAGGGAUUUUGUUUUUAAUGCAUAUUGACAGCACGCUUUACUUAGUAGCUAGCUUCCAUUUGUGUAGAUUCUACCUAAUGUAACUUCUUUUUUGCCUAAGAAUUUGCAAGACUAUUAGUUCUUCAAAGUCAAUUUUUUAAAAUGCACAAGUUAUAAAUACAGAAGAAAGAUCAACCCCCCAAACCUAACAAGGACCCCGAACAUUUUCAUAUUAAGACUGUAAGUAGAUGUCAGUUCAGCGUUUAUUGUAAGUUGGUCAAAACAUCUGGAAGAAAAUGACUAAAACUGCAUCUUUGUAUGUAUUUAUUACUUGAUGUAAUAAAGCUUAUUUUCAUUAACAACUUGUAUAUAAAAAGAAGAAAUGACAGAUGAGCUUUAUAAAGGGGAGUGCUAAUAUUCAGCAAGCAAACACCAGUAUUUCAUUAGUUCGAAAGCACUAGCUUUUAUAAGGUCUUUGAUCAAGUUGGUGUAGAUAGAAAAUAUCCUCUUUGACACAGGUUUCGUCAGAUACAACGCUAUAGAACGCAAGAUUGCUGAUUAAAGAUCUUCAGUUAAUCCAUCCAUUUGGAACUUUAGUUGGUCAUGAAUAAUUUCAUUGUUCUUUCUUUUUGCUCCUUUUUAAACC